UCGCGGUACUUUGACGUCAUCCGGCUGAAGGUUCUUACGGCGUCGCAUGAAGUCGAACAAGCCUUUCGUUUCACACACACCCACGUGACUGCUUCGUUAUCUGAUUCAAAGGUUUAAAAUUGUGCGAUGCGCGGCGCGCCCUCAUGGGUUGUAUUGGAGUACUGCAUUACACGGAAUCGAGAUAUUUAUAUAAAAAUAGUAGUAAAAAGCCUUUUCUGCACCACUUAAUACCAUGAUAUUUUUUUAAUUGGUUCACACUUUAUACUUUUGAGACAAGGGGUAUCCUUAAUUUGUUAUUUUUGUUUGGAGUUACCAUUCGCAUGAAAUGGAACAUGCUUAUUUAAUAUAUUGUUACAUUUAUUUAUGAAUCUAUCCUUAAUUUGUGAAUCCAUUAAUUUUUGCUUUUAUUACGUUGUUUCGCUGUGAUACAGCACUUUCAGCAGCAGAGGUCCUCAUCGAGCUCUGAUUUGAAAAGCUUCGAGUAAUGAACCUUUUUCUGAUACAGUUGGGUUGAACGCUUCACUGCUUCAAGAAAGCUUCACUUCGCCAUCACUAAUCGAGACUUUCUCCAUCUUUAACCAGAAGCCCCGUCUCAGACUAAUACAGUAGGACAUCUAAAGGUGAGUUCAGACAUUUUGUCACAGGUGCUGAGUCCCAAUUCGCCUACUUAUACUACGACCUAAAAGUAUGUACUGUUUUUGUGAGGAAAAUGUACAUACUUUUGAGUGUGUAGCAAAAGAGUAUGCACGUUCUGGGACGUACUUCGAUGACGUCAUGCAACGUGAACGACAACGUGGUUGCCUAGUUACGCACACCAAACGCAGGUCGUUUGGGCGGCUGGUUAUGAUGUUCAUGUGUAACAAUGUGUGUAACAAAAGCUACUUAUUUUAAAGUCAAAAUAGUUAAAGUUUAUAGUAUAACUAUUGUUUAACGUAUUUCAUGCUUAUUUUAUACUUAUGUAUUCAAAUCAAAAAUACCGCGAUGAAAAUGAACCAUGCUUUUACUAUAGUAAAAGUGUAGUAACCAUAUUUCUUAAUAAAGUUAACAUUUGUACAGCCACAGUGUUACUACAAAUAAGUCAGUGGUUAAACUAUGGUUAGUGUAGUAAAAGGUGUUUAUUUUCAUAAGGGUUUAUAGUAAGGUAUAAAUCUAAGACAGAAACAUAAAAAUAAAUACAUAAAAAAGGCACAUGCAUGACACAGUACUACAGCCAUGGUACUUUAUUUUCACAACAUCAACCGAAUAUUACGAGACAAUGAAAUAUAACUUUAAUUAGGGUUAAACAUUUUAAUUCUUACACUUAAAAGCUGAGGGCGAAUCUCCGCUGCUGGGAUUGUGGGCUGUGGGCAAUAUUAGCCGUUAGAGUGUGGAUCGAUCUGCACUUCGAAAUCUAACCAGAAAUAGUAGACCAUCCGGGUAUCUUUGGGAUACUCAUUUCAACAUACUACGAUUUGGGACGUACUAAUUCUAGUUUCGAAUACUAUUUAGGACGGAUAGUAUGCGAAUUGGGACUCAGCAAGGGUGACUUUAUAGGGCGGAACUAAUCAAUGGCGAAGAUUGGUUCCGCCCGAAGAUGGUUUCCACCUGGACCAAAUUUUAAAAACACUUUUGCUUCCUGGUUUCUGGGGCAACCCAAUCGGGGCUUUACGAGCAACAGGACGAAGAGAAGGGCGCCACGGGUCAACAUAACCACAGGAGGAAGACCAAGGGUCACAAGAAGGGACGAAGGAGCUCCGUCCCCCUCCCCCCUGUGGAUACACUCAUCCCUGUACUGAAGUCUUCUUUGGCCCCGUCCUCCCCCUGGAAGACAGACGAGUUCUUUUUUUAAUAGUCCCCUCUUACCUUCUCUGAACCAUUUUAAAUAAUUUAAAUAAAGCUUGUUUUAUCCUUA